rnacentral:rRNA from 1 species
UGGGGAAUAUUGGACAAUGGGGGGAACCCUGAUCCAGCCAUGCCGCGUGUGUGAAGAAGGCCUUAUGGUUGUAAAGCACUUUAAGCGAGGAGGAGGGUACUGGUAUUAAUACUACCAGGUACUGGACGUUACUCGCAGAAUAAGCACCGGCUAACUCUGUGCCAGCAGCCGCGGUAAUACAGAGGGUGCGAGCGUUAAUCGGAUUUACUGGGCGUAAAGCGUGCGUAGGCGGCUAAUUGAGUCGGAUGUGAAAUCCCCGAGCUUAACUUGGGAAUUGCAUUGGAUACUGGUUAGCUAGGGUGUGGGAGGGGAGGGUAGAAUUCCAGGUGGAGCGGUGAAAUGCGUAGAGAACUGGAGGAAUACCGAUGGCGAAGGCAGCCAUCUGGCCUAACACUGACGCUGGGGUACGGAAGGAUGGGGAGCAAACAGG